rnacentral:rRNA from 1 species
GGGUGGUAAUGCCGGAUGUUCCAGUUGAUCGCAUGGUCUUCUGGGAAAGCUUUCGCGGUAUGGGAUGGGGUCGCGUCCUAUCAGCUUGACGGCGGGGUAACGGCCCACCGUGGCUUCGACGGGUAGCCGGCCUGAGAGGGCGACCGGCCACAUUGGGACUGAGAUACGGCCCAGACUCCUACGGGAGGCAGCAGUGGGGAAUAUUGCACAAUGGGCGCAAGCCUGAUGCAGCGACGCCGCGUGAGGGAUGGAGGCCUUCGGGUUGUAAACCUCUUUUAUCGGGGAGCAAGCGUGAGUGAGUUUACCCGUUGAAUAAGCACCGGCUAACUACGUGCCAGCAGCCGCGGUAAUACGUAGGGUGCAAGCGUUAUCCGGAAUUAUUGGGCGUAAAGGGCUCGUAGGCGGUUCGUCGCGUCCGGUGUGAAAGUCCAUCGCUUAACGGUGGAUCCGCGCCGGGUACGGGCGGGCUUGAGUGCGGUAGGGGAGACUGGAAUUCCCGGUGUAACGGUGGAAUGUGUAGAUAUCGGGAAAGAAACACC